UGGCUCUCGCAUCGAUGAAGAACGCAGCGAAAUGCGAUAAGUAAUGUGAAUUGCAGAAUUCAGUGAAUCAUCGAAUCUUUGAACGCACCUUGCGCCCUUUGGCCAUUCCGAAGGGCAUGCCUGUUUGAGUAUCAUGAACACCUCAACUCUUCAUGGUUUUCCAUGAUGAGCUUGGACUUUGGGGGUUUUGCUGGCCUAUGGUCAGCUCCCCUAAAAUGAAUCAGCUUGCCAGUGUUUGGUGGGCAUCACAGGUGUGAUAACUAUCUACGCUUGUGGUUUUCCACCAGGUAGCCUCCAGCAGUGGAGGUUCACUGGAGCUCACAGAUGUCUCUCCUCAGUGAGGACAGCCCUUUGAAUGUUUGAUCUCAAAUCAGGUAGGACUACCCGCUGA
rnacentral:misc_RNA from 1 species